rnacentral:lncRNA from 1 species
GCAAAUAUGUAUAUCAGCCCAUGACCCCCGUGGAGCAGCUCCCGAGCACCGAGAUCCCCGCAGGGCCCCUCGAACCCGCAAACACCAUUCAGAUCUCAGUGUCGCUCACCGAACACUUUCUGAAAUUCGCUUCUGUCUUCCAGCCUCCCCUUCCCCCUGACUCGCCAAGGUACUGCAUGAUCUCAGACCUCUUCAUUGACAACUACCAGGUGAAGUGCAUUAACGGGAAGAUGUGCUACGUGCAGAAGCAGCCGGCGCCGCACUCCCGCAAGACGAGCCCGGAGGUCUCUGCACACGAUGCCUUAAAUUCCGAAGCGAGCAAUACACCAAAAAUCGAUCAGUGCUCUUCCCCCUCCAGUUCUGAGGACUCUGGGAUCAAUGCGAUUGGAGCUCACUAUGUGGAGUCAUGUGAUGAGGACACGGAAGAAGGAGCAGAGCUGAGCUCAGAGGAGGACUACAGUCCAGAGAGCAGCUGGGAGCCAGACGAGUGCACCCUUCUUUCGCCAUCGCAGUCUGACCUGGAAGUGAUUGAAACCAUGGAAACCACGGUUGCUGCCACCGCACCUUCUGGCAACUGUGGUGACCGACCGAGCUUGAGUCUGCACUGAGCCGUUUCCGGUGGAGCAGGGCUCUUCCCGCUCCUGGCUUCCAGCCCAUCACAGAGGGGUGAGUGCGGAGCUUCGGGAUCUUUGUGUUCACAGAUGCGGUGUGGAGCUGUUCAUACCAUGCAAUAUUCACUUACUGUGCUAUUUUUUAAAACUGUCUGUUAUAAAGUUUUAAGCACAAUGUCGACUCUUCUGUAAUUUCCUAAAAUUAUAUUGUUUUCCUAAGACAGCUCAACUUUCAUGUGUAAUACUUUAGGAAAAUAUUGCCGUGCAAAAUAAAUGUGAUUUUCUUUUGUAUCAGAACAAAUCUGCUGUUCUGGAGUUUGAAAUGCGCCCCCCCAUAGGAGAGUUCUGUCAGAUUUAAACAACUGCAAGGUAAGCUAAAAACAAAAGCCCACACGGCAGGCAUUUACUAUGUGCUAAGAAAUAAGCAAUUUCUGCUCCUUCCCCCAUUUGAACUUUACGAAGAACAGGCAGCUGUUACCCAGUGUGCUCACGGUCACCAUUCAGACUCCCAGAACUUCCAGCACCCUUUGUAGUAAGAACUUUUUCUGUUGGCUACAUUAGGUUUACAUUGAAUAAAACAAAUUCCCCCACAACUGGCAUUUAUUUCACAUGAGCCGCGUAAGACAUUCUAGCUGCGGGUUGUGCACAGGGGAGGCUGCAGGCCCAUGAGGCCUUGGGGUCCCCAGGGCCGCUUGAGAGUCACUGGGGUGCCCAGGGCUCAGCCCCAGCAUGGCACGUCCAGAGGGUUUCUGUGUAGCACACCCAGAACAGCUUCUGGGGUCAGCAGCCGCUCAGCAGCCUCCUGAGAGACUGCUAAGUACAUGAGCAGUAAUGAUACCACCAUUAAUACUAGUGACCAGUGCUCAGCAGCCGCUUUCUGCUUUCUAUGUGUAGGCUUCACAGUGGCAGUGCUAGUCAUUUGGGAAUUAGAUUUGAACCCAGGACGUGGGCGGAGGGGUCCCCACACUUUGGGCCCUCAGCCUACAUUAUUGUCCCCAAGCCAGCGAACACCUUGCCACCACGUGGUGGCUCCUCUCAGUGCAGCUGCUCCACACAGUGUUGGAGCAGUGCCCCUCUUCUGUGCUCCACCCAGCCCUUCCCUGACACACACGCGUGCACACAUGCACCCACACCCAUGUUUCUGCAGAUCUCUGCCUGCGUCAGGCUGUUGCUGCUCCUGAGUCAAUCACAUCUCCAUAGCUCUCUGGGCCAGCUCUUUGUAUCUCACAAAGAUAGCUUGUCCCCUGAAGUGACUCCUGCCGGCAGCUAAUCCCAUCCACUGUGUGUGCAUUCUACUAAUUUAAUUCCACAUAACUGUGUGGCUGAGUUCUAGAAGGCAUCUUAUUGUAGCCUCUUGCAGUGCUGACUACACAUACUUUAAUUCUGCCAUGACUUUAAGUUAGCGUCUCAUCAUCACAGCUCAGUCACUGGGAACUUGCUGUCCCACCCCGCCAGGGCUCAGGGACGGGACCAAGAUGGGGACCGUGGGGCUGUCUUGCUGCAGCAGGAUGCAAGGAGAGGCAAGGAGAGGUCGAGUACAGUUUUUCUGAACCACGGAGAUACAGGAAGUUGAUAGAAAUACAAGUAAAAAGGCAAAGUAAAUAUGCCAAGAUACUAAGUGUUUUUAUGACGACUUUUUUAGUUUUCUAAACUGAAUCCGUAUUUCUUUUAUAAUCAAACAACCUAGUCAGUCACUUUGAAGCUAGAAAGUCCUCAGACCUUUCUGAGGGAGGAAGCCAGUUUCCUGGAGUCUGUGGGUGCAAGUGGAGAGUCCAGGCAGGGGCCACACCCGCCGCGGGCGUCCCUGCUGGAAGGGACAAAGACCAGGCCGUGUCCUGGGAGAGCCAGCUCCCAUCCCAGGUGCCCCAGAUGUGGCUGGGACAUUUGUGGCCAGGUGAGUCUUCCCGGCUGUCUCACCCUUGGCUUGACUCCCUGCAAAUCUGGAGGUGGGAGAUCAGACAGCUGGGGUUUUCUGGGGGGACAUCUGAGCCCUGACCCCUAGCCUGUCACCUGGUAUAAAACCCAAAUGAUUUCUCCAGGACAGAUCUGGAGCUUCCCUGCAAGAUGACAAACCCUACAGCAUCACGGACCCAAGAAACACAGCAGCCUGUGGUCAGGGACCAUUCCCGUGGUGGCAGCUUCUCAAUCACAGCCAGCGACCGGGGAGCAGGCCUGGGUUCUGUCACGAGUCACAGCUGCAACGGUCUCAGCAGGUGGGAGCAGAGCCAGAGCUCCAAAGCCUGCUGACACCCAGUCCCCUACUGAGUCAGACCCACUGCUGUUCCCCUUAUCUGUCUGCACCCCAAGGUGAGGCCGUCACCUCACCCCCAGGCCCACCCAUCGGGAGGCCGGCCCAGCCGAAACGGGGCAGCGAGGGCGCCCCAGCUCUGCCUAGUACUGCAGCUGGCCCUGGCCCCGGGCCAGUCUUGCCUGCCCCAACUGCCUGGUGCUCAGUGCAGUGCUCAGACCUGAAACGCCUUCGUGGGAAUUGGGCUCAGGUCUUAGCUGCUCCCAUCUCCCCGCUUCCUGCCCUACCGGGGCCCUUGACACCAGCUGCUCUCCUGUCCCCCACCUCCCAUCACUUCUGAGGCCAGGCUGCCCUAGGGGACUGGGUCUGAUCACCCCACUGUGGGCAUUUUCUAUCUGCCGGAACCAGGCCCUAUGCAGUAAAUGCAGGGCUGAAUUUCCACCCUCACAUUUACAGUCUGCCUGUCAGCUCUGAUGCCAGUAUCCACACAGCAAAUGUAGCCACAUCCAUUUGUGUGCAAGAAGACCUGGAAAAGCCAUGUGGGUCUAUUGGCAAGGCCACCCUGGGGCUACCUGAUAAUCUGGAGGGCAGCUUCACCAAGGCCUGGCUGUGCCUGGCACGGGGGGGACACAGCCUGUUAUACCUGGAAUCCAGAAUAAUGGGGUGACCCCAGCAUGAUUUUAGAAGCUGCCCAGGGCUUAUGGAGGACACCAGGCAUUUGGAUUCCCCAAAGAACCCAGGGCCCUAGGUGACUGCAGCCAGUAUGGGGGUCUCUGGACCAGUCACCGAGAUGACACCAUAUGAUCACCAGGUCCAGUAGAACUUACCAGGGACCUUUCGGCUCCUCGUGGGGUCAGUUCCACCCCCACAGACUUAGGUUCUUCCCAUAUUCAGCACAUACACGGGUCACAGAGAGACCCUCAAUUCUGGGAGAUGCCCUGUGUUCCCCAAUACCUGUCUGGGCCCCUCGUUCUGCCCCAUGCCAGCCCCUCGGAGGGACCCAGUGGGCAGUGGCAAGGUCAGCAGGUGCACGUGGAGGGAGCCGGCUGGAUGCCGCCAGCACAGCUGGCGGUGACAGGAGGCUGGGGGUUGUUGGGGGGUGAAGGCCAACUCAAGCUUCUAGAGAAGAGGUCAGAUACGUGAACCAUGAGGACCCUAGUUUGCUAAGGGAGAGGAUGUGGCCCCCCAAUACUAUGAAGACCAAAUCUUGAUCUCUGCGAUGCACACUAGGCCGAGUUCUGAGGAAUAGGUGUCAGGAAUGGCACUGAGCUACUGGCUUAGGGUUAUGGGGGCCUCAGCACCUCAAAGCCCUGGCCCCCCAGCUGAACAGCAGACCCUGCUGGGCCCUGGCACUGACUAUGCCUUGGCUGAGGUAGGGACAGGAGGCAGAUGCUGCUGGAGCCCGCCCUGCGUGUAGAGCCAAGCUCGGGAAAGAUUAGUGAGAGGUGGUGUAUGACCCAGCUCCUGCCGUGCCCUUCCCUCUGAAGACACAGACAUCUGUUCAGGGGGCCACUCAAAAAUCUGUUCAGGGUGGCUGCACAUUCCUGUAGUACCCACACUCGGGGAGGCUGAGACGGGAAGGUCACAAGCUCGAGCUCAGCCUGAGCAACUUAGCAAGACUGUCUCAAUAAAGGGGGGAGUGCUGGGUAUGUCGCUCAGUGUAAAGGCCCUGGGUUCAGGCUCCAGUACCCCCCCAAGGUACUAAGCAUACCUGUCCUUGACCCUGCAGUCAUUCCCAACUGUAUACCUAACAAAAAUGCACGCAUACUUCAACCAAAACACAGUAGGAAUGACGAAUGGUAAAGGGCACCUUGCGAUGGAGGAGUAACAGUACAGUCACACAGUGGAACACCGUUCCGAGGUGAGAGCGCGUGACAGUAACUCACACGAGCAUGGUGUUGGACGACGGAGCCAUUCUGAAGAGCAUGUGGCGUGUAAUUCCACUGAUACGGAAUUCAGAACACGAGAAACAACGCCUGCCGUGAAAAGACUGCAGGGUAUUGGUGAACUUGGAAGAUGAAGGGAGAACCUGGGGAACACGUGAGGUGCAGGUCAUUCCUACGUGCUUGAGCUGGGGGCUGGUCAUACAGGGCUUUGGACCGUGAGUGGGUCCAGCUGGACAUGUGGUUUGCGAAUAUCGCUGGCCACGAAAGUUACUUGGAGAAGACAGUGACUGAGGAAAAGAUGGGAGCCCUAUUCUGUCUCAAGCAGAGCCUGGCAUCUACUUGGCACUCAGUGACUAACUGCUGACUGUGCCGGGAGGACACAGGAGCGAGCCAAACUACCCGGCCUCAGUGCCGCUGUGCGGGCGCUCCCGUGGGCACGUGGACAAGGGCAAGGCGAGCGCAACCUGGCC